rnacentral:lncRNA from 1 species
AUUCUUGAAAUGCAUAUAGGGAUAGUCUUUAUGCCUAAUCAAGCCUAAAACACUUUUUUUUUUUUUUUUUUGAAGGAGUUUCCCUCUUGUUGCCCAGGCUGGAGUGUAAUGGCAUAAUCUUGGCUCACGGUAACCUCUGGCUCACUGCAGCCUCCGCCUCCUGGGUUCGAGUCUCCUGCCUCAGCGUCCUGAGUAGCUGGGAUUACAGGCAUGUGCCACCACGCCCCACUAAUUUUGUAUUUUCAGUAGAGAUGGGGUUUCUCCAUAUUGGUCAGGCUGGUCUCGAACUCCCGAUGUCAGGUGAUCCACCCGCCUCAGCCUCCCAAAGUGCUGGGAUUACAGAUGUGAGCCACCGUGUCCAGACUAAAACACUUUUUUAAAAAGAGAUAUGUGUUACAUAUAAUUAAGCCAGCUAUUAGAAUAAUGGUAUUACUAAACUAUGUUACUAACUUUUGAAAAUUUUUUAGUUUUGCAGUUUUCUUUUUUCCUGCUGCCCCCAAGUUUUGCAGUUUUUAUGACAUGUUAGCAAGUUUUUAUGGUGGAACUUUUCUUUACUGACAGGUGCAUUCCUUGUAAAGGUUCUCGGUUUCCCCCAACCCUUCCACGCCCUGCUGUUGCUAUAUUAUCCUUUAAGCUUCCUUACUGUCAGAUUGCAACAGAUAAAGGACAAAUGGAGGAGCAGUUUUGGCGUUCAGUUACAUUUCACAACCACCUUGAUUAUUUAGCUAAAAAUGGUUAUGAGUAUGAAGAGAGCACUAAAAAUCAAGCAACAAAAGAGCAACAGGAACUUUUAAUGAAAAUGCUUGCGCUUUCUUGUAAACUGGAGCGGGAAUUUCGUUGUGUGGAACUUGCUGAUCUAAUGACUCAAAAUGCUGUGAAUUUAGCCAUUAAAUAUGCUUCUCGCUCUCGGAAAUUAAUACUGGCUCAAAGACUUAGUGAACUGGCUGUAGAGAAGGCAGCUGAAUUGACAGCAACCCAGGUGGAAGAGGAAGAAGAAGAAGAUUUCAGAAGAAAGCUGAAUGCUGGUUACAGUAAUACCGCUACAGAAUGGAGCCAGCCAAGGUUCAGAAAUCAAGUUGAAGAAGAUGCCAAGGACAGUGGAGAAGCUAAUGAUGCAGAAAAACUGGAAAUACAUAAGCAUGGUGCAGUUACCUUUAGCAGCCAAGGACGAGUAAAUCCCUUCAAGGUAUCAGCCAGUUCCAAAGAACCAGCCAUGUCAAUGAAUUCAGCACGUUCAACUAAUAUUUUAGAUAAUAUGGCCAAAUCAUCCAAGAAAUCCACUGCACUUAAUCGAACUAUAAAUAAUGAGAAGUCUCCCAUUAUAAAGCCUCUGAUUCCAAAGCCAAAGCCUAAGCAGGUACUGUUUCCACUACCCUCAUCUGCAGUAAGCAGCAUGGGAUCUGUUUGUCUUCAGUUUUGUUCCAUUUCAGAUAUAGGAUAGGAGGCUGUGAUUGUUUUGUUCACUGUUUCAGAUAUAGGAUAGGAG